AUGCGCAACCCAUCCGGCAUCCCCAAGGUGUAUGACCUGGAGAUCCCUGAGCCAGUGGGUCUGCUCAACGUGGUGGACGAGGACUGGCCAUUCGUGCCCCCGCCGCCGACGCCGCCCACUGAACGGCGCACUCUGAUCCACCCCCUGACAAUCCAUGUGUUGGAUGUGGUGGAUCGUACGGUGCCGUACAUGGAGCUUCACCCAAACUACGAGCCAGAUGAUGAGGAGGACCUCACGAGGAGGCAUGACUACUCUCGAAGCUGCUUCAGGGGACGGAUCGAUGGCGAGGGCCCGGUGAAAGAAUAUGCGGUGCCCCCAUGUUUGGUUUUGGUAAUUGAUGACAAUCUCUAUGGACUAAUGGUUGCCUUGAGUUAUAUUUGA
rnacentral:rRNA from 1 species